rnacentral:rRNA from 1 species
GCGCGAAAACUCUACAAUGCGGCGCAAAGUGUGAUAGGGCCAACCCCCUCGUGCUCAACUAACGUUGGGCUUUUAUUAUGUGUAAUGUGCAUAAUGAAUAAGUGGUGGGCAAGACCGGUGCCAGCAGCCGCGGUAAUACCGGCGCCACGAGUGGAGUUCACUAUUAUUGGGUCUAAAGUGUCCGUAGCUGGUUUAUUAAGUCUCUUGUGAAAUUUCUGUUGCUUAACUCAGAAACUGCAAGAGAUACUGGUAAACUCGAGACCGGAAGAGGUAACAAGUAUUAUUUGGGUAGCGGUAAAAUGCUAUAAUCCUUACAAGACUAACUAAGGCGAAGGCAUGUUACUUGGACGGAUCUGACAGUGA